UAGAUUGAAGCCCGCUGGAUGGGGUGUUUAGUUGUUUCUUAAAGUUUUGCGGGAUCAAGGCCCGUCAAUCUAGU
rnacentral:tRNA from 1 species